rnacentral:rRNA from 1 species
AACGAACGCUGGCGGCAGGCCUAACACAUGCAAGUCGAGCGAGGACUUCGGUUCUAGCGGCGGACGGGUGAGUAACGCGUGGGAAUGUGCCCUUCUCUACGGAAUAGCCCUGGGAAACUGGGAGUAAUACCGUAUACGCCCUAUUGGGGAAAGAUUUAUCGGAGAAGGAUCAGCCCGCGUUGGAUUAGGUAGUUGGUGGGGUAAUGGCCUACCAAGCCGACGAUCCAUAGCUGGUUUGAGAGGAUGAUCAGCCACACUGGGACUGAGACACGGCCCAGACUCCUACGGGAGGCAGCAGUGGGGAAUCUUAGACAAUGGGGGCAACCCUGAUCUAGCCAUGCCGCGUGAGUGAUGAGGGCCUUAGGGUUGUAAAGCUCUUUCAGCUGGGAAGAUAAUGACGGUACCAGCAGAAGAAGCCCCGGCUAACUCCGUG